rnacentral:rRNA from 1 species
UACGUAGGGUGCAAGCGUUGUCCGGAAUUAUUGGGCGUAAAGAGCUCGUAGGCGGUUCGUCGCGUCGGCUGUGAAAUCCCGAGGCUCAACCUCGGGUCUGCAGUCGAUACGGGCGGACUGGAGUUCGGCAGGGGAGACUGGAAUUCCUGGUGUAGCGGUGAAAUGCGUAGAUAUCAGGAGGAACACCGGUGGCGAAGGCGGCUCUCUGGACGGUGACUGACGCUGAGACGCGAAAGCGUGGGGAGCAAACAGG